rnacentral:rRNA from 1 species
AUUGAACGCUGGCGGCAGGCCUAACACAUGCAAGUCGAGCGGAUGAAGGGAGCUUGCUCCUGGAUUCAGCGGCGGACGGGUGAGUAAUGCCUAGGAAUCUGCCUGGUAGUGGGGGAUAACGUCCGGAAACGGGCGCUAAUACCGCAUACGUCCUGAGGGAGAAAGUGGGGGAUCUUCGGACCUCACGCUAUCAGAUGAGCCUAGGUCGGAUUAGCUAGUUGGUGGGGUAAAGGCCUACUAAGGCGACGAUCCGUAACUGGACUGAGAGGAUGAUCAGUCACACUGGAACUGAGACACGGUCCGGACUCCUACGGGAGGCAGCAGUGGGGAAUAUUGGACAAUGGGCGAAAGCCUGGUCCAGCCAUGCCGCGUGUGUGAAGAAGGUCUUCGGAUUGUAAAGCACUUUAAGUUGGGAGGAAGGGCAGUAAGUUAAUACCUUGCUGUUUUGACGUUACCAACAGAAUAAGCACCGGCUAACUUCGUG